rnacentral:lncRNA from 1 species
CUUCUCUUGUCUAGACAGAAUGGAAAGCCCCUGAUAUUGCAGAAUCUCAUUCAUCACCAUGAUCUGAAGUACUCAGAGCAGACAAUAUUAUGCACACAAAAGAAGUAGGAAGACUGCAAACUCCUUUAAAAGAAACAAGCCUGGAACCAUGGACCCAGCCCCAGUCCUCAGUUGCCAUGAAAAUAUUACCUUUUGGGAGCCUGUCAACACAAUAUCUUUAUGGAUGGAUUUGGACCAGCAAUCAGAUAUUUCACAGUUGUAACACCUGAUCCCUUCAUUGAUCCUCUGGCAUAUGCUAGCUGUAAUUCUCUCCCUCUGGAUUUUUCUUGGCAACUCCUGGUAUGUCAAGAUCCAUAACUUGCCACUAAUUACAGUGGAUUCCAGUCAUUUACACUCACCCAACUUUAUCUUUCUGUUCAGCAAUUUGUUUUGUAAGGUAAUGUGACAAGGCUCUGAACUCUGCCUGGCAUUCUUAAUUCUGCUGGGUUUUCCUAUAAAGAUAUUUUUGUGCAUACAGCCCAUACAUG